AUUGAACGCUGGCGGCAGGCCUAACACAUGCAAGUCGAACGGUAACAGGAAGCAGCUUGCUGCUUCGCUGACGAGUGGCGGACGGGUGAGUAAUGUCUGGGGAUCUGCCCGAUGGAGGGGGAUAACCACUGGAAACGGUGGCUAAUACCGCAUAACGUCGCAAGACCAAAGUGGGGGACCUUCGGGCCUCACACCAUCGGAUGAACCCAGAUGGGAUUAGCUAGUAGGUGGGGUAACGGCUCACCUAGGCGACGAUCCCUAGCUGGUCUGAGAGGAUGACCAGCCACACUGGAACUGAGACACGGUCCAGACUCCUACGGGAGGCAGCAGUGGGGAAUAUUGCACAAUGGGCGCAAGCCUGAUGCAGCCAUGCCGCGUGUAUGGAGAAGGCCUUCGGGUUGUAAAGUACUUUCAGCGGGGAGGAAGGGAUGGUGCUUAAUACGCGCCGUCAUUGACGUUACCCGCAGAAGAAGCACCGGCUAACUCCGUGCCAGCAGCCGCGGUAAUACGGAGGGUGCAAGCGUUAAUCGGAAUUACUGGGCGUAAAGCGCACGCAGGCGGUCUGUUAAGUCAGAUGUGAAAUCCCCGGGCUUAACCUGGGAACUGCAUUUGAAACUGGCAGGCUUGAGUCUCGUAGAGGGGGGUAGAAUUCCAGGUGUAGCGGUGAAAUGCGUAGAGAUCUGGAGGAAUACCGGUGGCGAAGGCGGCCCCCUGGACGAAGACUGACGCUCAGGUGCGAAAGCGUGGGGAGCAAGCAGGAUUAGAUACCCUGGUAGUCCACGCCGUAAACGAUGUCGACUUGGAGGCUGUUUCCUUGAGAAGUGGCUUCCGGAGCUAACGCGUUAAGUCGACCGCCUGGGGAGUACGGCCGCAAGGUUAAAACUCAAAUGAAUUGACGGGGGCCCGCACAAGCGGUGGAGCAUGUGGUUUAAUUCGAUGCAACGCGAAGAACCUUACCUGGUCUUGACAUCCACGGAAUUCGGCAGAGAUGCCCUAGUGCCUUCGGGAACCGUGAGACAGGUGCUGCAUGGCUGUCGUCAGCUCGUGUUGUGAAAUGUUGGGUUAAGUCCCGCAACGAGCGCAACCCUUAUCCUUUGUUGCCAGCGCGUGAUGGCGGGAACUCAAAGGAGACUGCCGGUGAUAAACCGGAGGAAGGUGGGGAUGACGUCAAGUCAUCAUGGCCCUUACGACCAGGGCUACACACGUGCUACAAUGGCGCAUACAAAGAGAAGCGACCUCGCGAGAGCAAGCGGACCUCAUAAAGUGCGUCGUAGUCCGGAUUGGAGUCUGCAACUCGACUCCAUGAAGUCGGAAUCGCUAGUAAUCGUGGAUCAGAAUGCCACGGUGAAUACGUUCCCGGGCCU
rnacentral:rRNA from 1 species